AAAACAUCCUGUUACAAGUAAACAAAUAACGUUCAUGUGGAUGAGAUGAAAUCUAAUAAUUUACAUAAAUAAAAGGGUCAUAUUUACGAUAGUGAUUGUUUUACAAUCAUAAUUUACAAAUUAAAUGAUUCAGAUGCCUAAUCAUGUGUAAAAAUCGGUGUCAGGAAUCUUAAGUUGUUUUGAAAUUGUAAUACACGAAAUGAAUGCGGCAUACGGAGACUCAAUGCCAAUGGUCAGCCCCUUAAGUCUUCAGAAGACUUGACGUCUUCUUCCACUAAAAAACAUUU
rnacentral:lncRNA from 1 species